AGAUUAAGUUAUUAAGGGCGCACGGUGGAUGCCUUGGCACUAGAAGCCGAUGAAGGACGUUACUAACGACGAUAUGCUUUGGGGAGCUGUAAGUAAGCUUUGAUCCAGAGAUUUCCGAAUGGGGAAACCCAGCAUGAGUUAUGUCAUGUUAUCGAUAUGUGAAUACAUAGCAUAUCAGGAGGCACACCCGGAGAACUGAAACAUCUUAGUACCCGGAGGAAGAGAAAGAAAAUUCGAUUCCCUUAGUAGCGGCGAGCGAAACGGGAAGAGCCCAAACCAACAAGCUUGCUUGUUGGGGUUGUAGGACACUCUAUACGGAGUUACAAAGGACGACAUUAGACGAAUCAUCUGGAAAGAUGAAUCAAAGAAGGUAAUAAUCCUGUAGUCGAAAAUGUUGUCUCUCUUGAGUGGAUCCUGAGUACGACGGAGCACGUGAAAUUCCGUUGGAAUCUGGGAGGACCAUCUCCUAAGGCUAAAUACUCUCUAGUGACCGAUAGUGAACCAGUACCGUGAGGGAAAGGUGAAAAGCACCCCGGAAGGGGAGUGAAAUAGAACCUGAAACCGUGUGCUUACAAGUAGUCAGAGC
rnacentral:rRNA from 1 species